CCGCUCCUUCCCCUUCCCUCUCCCUGCCAGCGUCACCGCUCUCCCAGCCUAGUCGCUGCCGCUGGCUCUCCCCGUCGCUGACGUGGCCACCGCGGGUGACUACCCGACCACCGGAAGCGCAGCCCUUGUAGGGCGCAGAGUCCUGAGGGCUCCGCGGGGCCGGAAGCCGGGCAACAGCCGCCCGCGGUCUCUGGCCUGGCUCUCAUCUUCCGAACGACUCACCGGUCCCGCAAAGGAGCUUUCACCAUGGGACCGCAUCUCUAAUGCUGAAAAGCAGCUGAAAAUACCCAGGACCACCUGAUUCUCUGACUCAGUGGGACUCAACCCCUGACCUCAGGGGAGUUUCCUGAGCCAUGAAGGAAGACUUGAGCUGAGCACAGAAGGAAACAUGGGAAAGGAUGUUGGUUAUUAUUUUCCCAGCUAUUAUCCUGACCUGAUUACUCUUGUCAUUAUGGGCUCUCACUAAAGCUCAGUUGAGGAUAACACUAAAUGCUACCGAGAAUAACUUCAGAUUCCUCGGAUCCCAUGUUCCUGCAUUAGGUAUUCACACAGAUUAUGGAAGCAGCAAGGCUCCCUUCUGUGAACCACAUGGAUGAAAUGCUCAGCCUCCCUGGGCUGGGAGCCACGCACAGCUGAGAAACACCUUGGGCCCUGAAGCCAGAGCUGGCCACUACGCAGGAGAGAGAGCCUGCAUGAGCCAGUGCGGUGAAGGAUGGCGUGAAGGCGUGAAAGGUGGCUUUGGGAAGCGAAAAGCAGGCUCUGAGAGCCCAGCUCCAGGAACCUGGA
rnacentral:lncRNA from 1 species